rnacentral:rRNA from 1 species
AACGAACGCUGGCGGCAUGCCUAACACAUGCAAGUCGAACGAAGCCUUCGGGCUUAGUGGCGCACGGGUGCGUAACGCGUGGGAAUCUGCCCCUUGCUUCGGAAUAACAGUUAGAAAUGACUGCUAAUACCGGAUGAAGUCUUCGGACCAAAGAUUUAUCGGCAAGGGAUGAGCCCGCGUAGGAUUAGGUAGUUGGUGGGGUAAAGGCCACCAAGCCGACGAUCCUUAGCUGGUCUGAGAGGAUGAUCAGCCACACUGGGACUGAGACACGGCCCAGACUCCUACGGGAGGCAGCAGUGGGGAAUAUUGGACAAUGGACGCAAGUCUGAUCCAGCAAUGCCGCGUGAGUGAUGAAGGCCUUAGGGUUGUAAAGCUCUUUUACCAGGGAUGAUAAUGACAGUACCUGGAGAAUAAGCUCCGGCUAACUCCGUG